UGGGGAAUAUUGGACAAUGGGGGCAACCCUGAUCCAGCAAUGCCGCGUGUGUGAAGAAGGUCUUCGGAUUGUAAAGCACUUUCGACGGGGACGAUGAUGACGGUACCCGUAGAAGAAGCCCCGGCUAACUUCGUGCCAGCAGCCGCGGUAAUACGAAGGGGGCUAGCGUUGCUCGGAAUGACUGGGCGUAAAGGGCGUGUAGGCGGUUUACACAGUCAGAUGUGAAAUCCCCGGGCUUAACCUGGGAGCUGCAUUUGAUACGUGUAGACUAGAGUGUGAGAGAGGGUUGUGGAAUUCCCAGUGUAGAGGUGAAAUUCGUAGAUAUUGGGAAGAACACCGGUGGCGAAGGCGGCAACCUGGCUCAUGACUGACGCUGAGGCGCGAAAGCGUGGGGAGCAAACAGGAUUAGAUACCCUGGUAGUCCACGCUGUAAACGAUGUGUGCUAGAUGUUGGGUAACUUUGUUAUUCAGUGUCGCAGUUAACGCGUUAAGCACACCGCCUGGGGGAGUACGGCCGCAAGGUUG
rnacentral:rRNA from 1 species